rnacentral:rRNA from 1 species
GAUGAACGCUGGCGGCGUGCCUAACACAUGCAAGUCGAGCGAACGGAUGAGAAGUUUGCUUCUCUGAUGUUAUCGGCCGACGGGAGAUUAACAUGUGGUCAACCUACCUAUAAGACUGUGAUAAUUUCGGGAAACCGGAGCUAAUACCGGAUAAUAUUUUGAACUGCAUGGUUCAAAAGUGAAAGACGGUCUUGCUGUCACUUAUAGCUGGAUCCGCGCUGCAUCAGCUAGUUGGUAAGGUAACGGCUUACCAAGGCAACGAUGCAUAGCCGACCUGAGAGGGUGGACGGCCAGACGGGAUCUGAGACACAGUCGAGACUCCUACAGGGAGCAGCGGUAGAGAAUCCUACGCGAUGGAGGAGAGCCUGACGGAGCGACGCCGGGUGAGUGAUGAAGGUCUUCGGAUGGUAGAACUCUGAUGUUAGGAGGGUACAAAUAUGUAAGUAACUGUGAAGAUCUUGACGGUACCUAAACAAAAAGCCACGGCUAACUACGUG